GGCGGGCUGGACUGCUGGCCUUUCAGGGAAGGCUGAACGGAGGCCUGUCCCCUGGAUCCCUCCCCCUGUCCCCCCCCAGGGUCCCCACACCAAGACACCGGCUAGAUCCCCACCUCGUCCACUCCCCACCCUCCGUCUCUGUCCAUUUUCUUCAGCACGGCCAUAAAAGCAAUUUCCUCAGCCCACGGGCUUUGCUCGAACUUUCCUUGUGGGAGUCUGCCCUCUGAACAGGCCAGAUGGGCUGAGCUCCUCACGCUGGGAAGUCCGAUGGCACAUGGGCUCCUUCUCACCAUUCACUCACUGCCUCCACCCUCUCUCUGGCAACUUUUCAUGAGUUUUUCCAUCAACAUGCGAAGCCUGAUUUAUGUUUUGAGAGCCACACCCUUUUCAACAACACGCAUGCAGAUGCCCUACAUAAAUGAAAGGUGACCUUUACCCGUGAAAAGAAUUUCGAUGAAUUGCAGGAAAUAAUAUACUGUGCAGGGAAAACCGUCCUCUGGUCUUUUUUGUUGUUGUCCAAUAUAAAUCACUUCCCAGGAAGAACAAUCUGAGUCUAACGAGGUUCAUUAACU
rnacentral:lncRNA from 1 species